rnacentral:lncRNA from 1 species
UAUGAUUUUUCGAUAUCAUUUGCCUAGUGAUCGAAGGGGCUCAAAAUUAAUAAUUUUAAUGGCCGUAGUGAGCCGUUUGCAAGUUUAACGGUGUAGAAAUAUCCAAAUCAUGUGAAAUUUUGAUAGAAAAUUCUUUAUACUAUAUAAAAUAAGAUCGAUAUCUUUGAUCUAACAUUUUAAUGUCAUAUUAUCACGUUUUGUAAGAUUUUUAUUUUC